rnacentral:lncRNA from 1 species
GGAGGAGAAUCUUCUCAAGGGAGGACACUCACUAAUUCCAGGUCAGAAAGAGACCAGAACAACCCCAGAGUUCUGGGCAUGAGCAAAGAGCCAAGGACCAUCUCCAGACAUCAAAGAGCAUUAUAUCAUGGCUAAGAACAGAUGCUGGGGCCAGGGAGAUGGGCACAGGGAGAUGGCACUAAGCUUUCAGAGGAUUGGAGUUUGGUUCCCAUUCCCAUGUUGGCCAGAUCAUGACGGCCAGUGGCUACAGCUUCAGAGGACCUGGAACCUUCUUCUGGUGACCCUGCAUGCACCACCUUCAUAUGCACCUCCCCCUAAGACACACACGCCUUCCUAACUGUCUCUGGUGACAACAGGACAGGUACAUCACAGCUGUUUGUGUGCUAUGAUUUCCUGUGUGUGCACACAGGAAGAAGACCCUCUUUUCUUCUUUGCCCACAAACUGCUCUUCACUCCUGGGAUGACCUUGCUUCAGCUGGGAUCAGAAGCUCAAGAGCACACUGGGUACAAAAUCAAGGCCUGUGGGGGAAAUUUCAGCACCCAGUGUCUGCCCAGGUGUGCUUAGUGUCACCUCCAUGGGCACUGGCUCCACUGUCCCCCAUGUCCUGACCCCUAUCAAAAUGUUGAAUAAGCUA